GACGAACGCUGGCGGCGUGCUUAACACAUGCAAGUCGAACGGUAAGGCCCUUCGGGGUACACGAGUGGCGAACGGGUGAGUAACACGUGGGUGAUCUGCCCUGCACUUCGGGAUAAGCCUGGGAAACUGGGUCUAAUACCGGAUAGGACCACUGCCUGCAUGGGUGGUGGUGGAAAGGUUUUGCGGUGUGGGAUGGGCCCGCGGCCUAUCAGCUUGUCGGUGGGGUGAGGGACUACCAAGGCGACGACGGGUAGCCGGCCUGAGAGGGUGACCGGCCACACUGGGGCUGAGAUACGUCCCAGACUCCGACGGGAGGCAGCAGUGGGGAAUAUUGCACAAUGGGCGCAAGCCUGAUGCAGCGACGCCGCGUGAGGGAUGACGGCCUUCGGGUUGUAAACCUCUUUCAGCACCGACGAAGCGCAAGUGACGGUAGGUGCAGAAGAAGGACCGGCCAACUACGUGCCAGCAGCCGCCGUAA
rnacentral:rRNA from 1 species